rnacentral:rRNA from 1 species
GAUCCUGGCUCAGGAUGAACGCUAGCUACAGGCUUAACACAUGCAAGUCGAGGGGCAGCGGGAAGUCAGCUUGCUGACUUUGCCGGCGACCGGCGCACGGGUGAGUAACACGUAUCUAACCUUCCCGUUACUCUGGAAUAGCCUUUCGAAAGAAAGAUUAAUACCGGAUAGUAUCGAGAGAUUGCAUGAUUACCCGAUUAAAGAUUCAUCGGUAACGGAUGGGGAUACGUUCCAUUAGGCAGUUGGG